CCUUAAAGGGUCCUGAAGGAACGUUAAAGACGAUGACGUUGAUAGGCCGGGUGUGUAAGCGCAGCGAUGCGUUGAGCUAACCGGUACUAAUGAACCGUGAGGCUUAACCUU
rnacentral:rRNA from 1 species